rnacentral:sRNA from 1 species
AUGAUAGUGAGGAAACUGAAGUCUUCUAUCUACAGAAAAGACCCAGCAGGAGCACAGAAGUUCCAGCUUCCCCACACCUCCUUACUAAUGUGUCUCAGUACUAUUCUUUGGAGAUCAACUCUAGAAGUGAAGGUAGUUUGUUUCUUAUGCACAUUUAAUCUUUGCCCUCU